AACGAACGCUGGCGGCAUGCCUAACACAUGCAAGUCGAACGAGACCUUCGGGUCUAGUGGCGCACGGGUGCGUAACGCGUGGGAACCUGCCCUUAGGUUCGGAAUAACUCCCCGACAGGGGUGCUAAUACCGGAUAAUGUCUUCGGACCAAAGAUUUAUCGCCUUUGGAUGGGCCCGCGUUGGAUUAGCUAGUUGGUAGGGUAAAAGCCUACCAAGGCGACGAUCCAUAGCUGGUCUGAGAGGAUGAUCAGCCACACUGGGACUGAGACACGGCCCAGACUCCUACGGGAGGCAGCAGUGGGGAUUAUUGGACAAUGGGCGAAAGCCUGAUCCAGCAAUGCCGCGUGAGUGAUGAAGGCCUUAGGGUUGUAAAGCUCUUUUACCCGGGAUGAUAAUGACAGUACCGGGAGAAUAAGCUCCGGCGAACUCCGU
rnacentral:rRNA from 1 species